rnacentral:tRNA from 1 species
GCGGACGUGGCGGAAUUGGUAUACGCGCUAGCUUGAGGGGCUAGUGCCAGCAAUGGCUUGAGGGUUCGAGUCCCUCCGUCCGCA